rnacentral:piRNA from 1 species
UACUAAAAUUAUUAUCCUUGCUCCAGGCC